UGCAAGUCGAGCGGUAGCACAGAGAGCUUGCUCUCGGGUGACGAGCGGCGGACGGGUGAGUAAUGUCUGGGAAACUGCCUGAUGGAGGGGGAUAACUACUGGAAACGGUAGCUAAUACCGCAUAACGUCGCAAGACCAAAGUGGGGGACCUUCGGGCCUCAUGCCAUCAGAUGUGCCCAGAUGGGAUUAGCUAGUAGGUGGGGUAACGGCUCACCUAGGCGACGAUCCCUAGCUGGUCUGAGAGGAUGACCAGCCACACUGGAACUGAGACACGGUCCAGACUCCUACGGGAGGCAGCAGUGGGGAAUAUUGCACAAUGGGCGCAAGCCUGAUGCAGCCAUGCCGCGUGUGUGAAGAAGGCCUUCGGGUUGUAAAGCACUUUCAGCGGGGAGGAAGGCGUUAAGGUUAAUAACCUUGGCGAUUGACGUUACCCGCAGAAGAAGCACCGGCUAACUCCGUGCCAGCAGCCGCGGUAAUACGGAGGGUGCAAGCGUUAAUCGGAAUUACUGGGCGUAAAGCGCACGCAGGCGGUCUGUCAAGUCGGAUGUGAAAUCCCCGGGCUCAACCUGGGAACUGCAUUCGAAACUGGCAGGCUAGAGUCUUGUAGAGGGGGGUAGAAUUCCAGGUGUAGCGGUGAAAUGCGUAGAGAUCUGGAGGAAUACCGGUGGCGAAGGCGGCCCCCUGGACAAAGACUGACGCUCAGGUGCGAAAGCGUG
rnacentral:rRNA from 1 species